GAGCCAGCUCAGCCCAGCGGUUCCAUUGACCAAAGCAUUGCUAAGAUCCCCUAAUCGCUUCCAGUGGUUUGAGAGCUGCAGGCGCUGCCUGGUUUUCUU
ensembl:vault_RNA Vault Vault RNA